CCCAUUACUUACCUCAGCUCUUGCCAAGCUAGCAGUUCGAAAGCAUGCAAAUGUGAAUAAAUAAAUAGGAACUUUGGAGCAUAGAUAACA